rnacentral:rRNA from 1 species
CCUACGGGAGGCAGCAGUGGGGCAUCUUGCACAAUGGGGGACACCCUGAUGCAGCGACGCCGCGUGAGUGCAGAAGUAUUUCGGUAUGUAACGCUCUAUCAGCAGGGACGAAAAUGACGGUACCUGAUUAAGCAGCCCCGGCUAACUACGUGCAAGCAGCCGCGGUACUACGUAGGGGGCAAGCGUUAUCCGGAUUUACUGGGUGUAAAGGGAGCGUAGACGGCAGCACAAGUCUGGAGUGAAAUGCCGGGGCUUAACCCCGGAACUGCUUUGGAAACUGUGCAGCUAGAGUGCAGGAGAGGUAAGUGGAAUUCCUAGUGUAGCGGUGAAAUGCGUAGAUAUUAGGAGGAACACCAGUGGCGAAGGCGGCUUACUGGACUGUAACUGACGUUGAGGCUCGAAAGCGUGGGGAGCAAACAGGAUUAGAUACCCGAGUAGGC